rnacentral:rRNA from 1 species
AGGGAUCAUUACCGAGUUUACAACUCCCAAACCCAAUGUGAACGUUACCAAACUGUUGCCUCGGCGGGAUCUCUGCCCCGGGUGCGUCGCAGCCCCGGACCAAGGCGCCCGCCGGAGGACCAACCAAAACUCUUAUUGUAUACCCCCUCGCGGGUUUUUUUAUAAUCUGAGCCUUCUCGGCGCCUCUCGUAGGCGUUUCGAAAAUGAAUCAAAACUUUCAACAACGGAUCUCUUGGUUCUGGCAUCGAUGAAGAACGCAGCGAAAUGCGAUAAGUAAUGUGAAUUGCAGAAUUCAGUGAAUCAUCGAAUCUUUGAACGCACAUUGCGCCCGCCAGUAUUCUGGCGGGCAUGCCUGUCCGAGCGUCAUUUCAACCCUCGAACCCCUCCGGGGGGUCGGCGUUGGGGAUCGGCCCUCCCUUAGCGGGGUGGCCGUCUCCGAAAUACAGUGGCGGUCUCGCCGCAGCCUCUCCUGCGCAGUAGUUUGCACACUCGCAUCGGGAGCGCGGCGCGUCCACAGCCGUUAAACACCCAACUUCUGAAAUGUUGACCUCGGAUCAGGUAGGAAUACCCGCUGAACU